rnacentral:rRNA from 1 species
AUUGAACGCUGGCGGCAUGCCUUACACAUGCAAGUCGAACGGUAACAGGUCUUCGGAUGCUGACGAGUGGCGAACGGGUGAGUAAUACAUCGGAACGUGCCCGAGAGUGGGGGAUAACGAAGCGAAAGCUUUGCUAAUACCGCAUACGAUCUCAGGAUGAAAGCAGGGGACCGCAAGGCCUUGCGCUCACGGAGCGGCCGAUGGCAGAUUAGGUAGUUGGUGGGAUAAGAGCUUACCAAGCCGACGAUCUGUAGCUGGUCUGAGAGGACGACCAGCCACACUGGGACUGAGACACGGCCCAGACUCCUACGGGAGGCAGCAGUGGGGAAUUUUGGACAAUGGGCGCAAGCCUGAUCCAGCCAUGCCGCGUGCAGGAUGAAGGCCUUCGGGUUGUAAACUGCUUUUGUACGGAACGAAAAGACUCUGGUUAAUACCUGGGGUCCAUGACGGUAUCGUAAGAAUAAGCACCGGCUAACUACGUGCCAGCCGCCGCAGUAA